rnacentral:lncRNA from 1 species
UGUUUGGGGCAAGCUUUCAGUUAAAAAAAAAAAGAUAUAUUUUUUACUGUUUUAAUUAUAAAAGUUUUUAUAAAAGAGCCCCAAAGCAUAACAGAUUAAGAUGUUAUCUGAGAGCAACCACAAAUCAACCAUAGGUUUAGGUCGACCCAUAGGUUGACCUAAAACAUCUAGGCAUAUUGAGAGUGCAGGGUUAGGUUGGGAUUGAGCCCCUAGGACAUGACAGACCAGUAGUCGAACCACGUAAAUAUUUGUGUGUUUUAUUUUCGUCUCUUAUUUUGAUUCUCUUUUAGUUUUCGUAUCAAGCAAAGUAAAUUUUUUCAGCUUUUGUCAUAACAAACUAAUAUUAAAGCAAAUAUAGUAUCAGAGUAACUCCUUUUGU